CGUCAGAGCCAGUAGGCCUAUACUACGAAAUUGUUUUGAGACUCAAACAAUCGGACGAGAAUGCCGCGUCCUGCUCUAACAACGUCAUUUCACGUUUGUUAGAGUGGGACGCGGCAUUCUCAUACGAUUGUUUAAGUCUCAAAACGAUUUCGUGGAACGACUCCUGUUACAUAAGAU